GCAGUGGUGGUUCAGUGGUAGAAUUCUGGCCUUCCACGUGGGAGUCUCGAGUUCGAUUCCUGGCCAGUGCA
rnacentral:tRNA from 1 species